rnacentral:rRNA from 1 species
GAUGAACGCUGGCGGCGUGCCUAAUACAUGCAAGUCGAGCGAACGGACGAGAAGCUUGCUUCUCUGAUGUUAGCGGCGGACGGGUGAGUAACACGUGGAUAACCUACCUAUAAGACUGGGAUAACUUCGGGAAACCGGAUCUAAUACCGGAUAAUAUUUUGAACCGCAUGGUUCAAAAGUGAAAGACGGUCUUGCUGUCACUUAUAGAUGGAUCCGCGCUGCAUUAGCUAGUUGGUAAGGUAACGGCUUACCAAGGCAACGAUGCAUAGCCGACCUGAGAGGGUGAUCGGCCACACUGGAACUGAGACACGGUCCAGACUCCUACGGGAGGCAGCAGUAGGGAAUCUUCCGCAAUGGGCGAAAGCCUGACGGAGCAACGCCGCGUGAGAGAUGAAGGUCUUCGGAUCGUAAAACUCUGUUAUUAGGGAAGAACAUAUGUGUAAGUAACUGUGCACAUCUUGACGGUACCUAAUCAGAAAGCCACGGCUAACUACGUG